rnacentral:rRNA from 1 species
UGUAAGCGUAUACCAAAGUUGUUGCAGUUAAAACGCUCGUAGUCGGAAUUUGGCAGUUCCGGAUGUGUGCACGUCGUGUGCACACUUCGCGGGGAUUGCUUUUGUGGUCUUGCGUAGGAUGAGGCACUUUUAUUAGUGAACGUCCUCACGCAACCACUUUUUACUGUGAGAAAAUCAGAGUGCUCAAAGCAGGCAUUUGCCGUGAAUGUAUUAGCAUGGAAUAAUAGAAUAGGACUUGGUUCUAUUUUGUUGGUUUGUUGGGACUGAGUAAUGAUUAAGAGGGACAGUUGGGGGCAUUUGUAUUUCGGUGCUAGAGGUGAAAUUCUUAGAUUACCGAAAGACAAACUGCUGCGAAAGCGUCUGCCAAGGAUGUUUUCAUUGA